GUUACGGCAUAAUAUCUAUGCAUAGCCACAGCCCAGCCCUGGCCCUGCUUCACCACACUGACAAAAUGGCGUCCAAUAUUUCUUUGCAUGAUAUUGAGGACUUCAUAAAGGACAAGAUCAUAAAUGAAAAUUGGACGCAUUAUCGUCUCAGUCAGUUUCUUAAACUUAGGUAUCCAAGCAUUAGAGGCUUCAGUGUUCGUACUAUUGAGAGAUUUUGUGCUGACAAGGGAAUACACCGAACCAAUCGAUUGGAUGAUGCGGCUUUAGAGCAAGUUGUCCCUGCAGCUGUCAGAACUGUUGGUCCUUCAUAUGGAAGGAAAACCAUGACUGGAUUUUUGAGGUCUCAUGAAGUUCGUGUAAGCGAGACAAGAGUGGGGCAAGCACUUAGACAUGCCAAUCCUGUGUACCACCGGGACAGAACUGAAGCUGCCACAAGAUCAUUGAAUCCUGUUCCAUAUAGUGCGGACUACUUUGGCCACAAGGUCCACAUUGACCAAAAUGAGAAAUUGGUCAUGUAUGGUGUCACUCACAUUUGUGCCAUUGAUGGUUUUAGCAACAAAAAUUGUUGCUUUCAUAACAUCACCAAUAAAGAAUUGUAUUGAAAUCUAUACACAUUUUUACAAACCUAUGGUUCUUAAGUAUGGCUUGUGGGAUCAGAUCCGAGUUGACCAUGGAAAAGAGUGGCAGCUAAUCCUUUUUUUAUCCAAGAAAAAUUAGCACACCUACGGUACAACACACAACGUGCUCCACAUCUCCAAACAACAUCCAAAUUGAAUCAUCCAGUGGAGAGAAUAUGGGUAGAAAUCAACAACAGGGUCAACUAUCCCAUCAAGGCAUGCCUUAUAGACAUGGAAGAAAAAGGAUUGAUUCCUAUGGAUGACAGUUUAAUCAAGUUUUGUGUUUCAUGGUUUUCCAUACGGGUUGCAAACAUUGGAACUAUAAUAGCGAUAGAAUCUUGGAAUCAGCAUACAUUACGUGGACGCAAAAAUGGUACACCUAAUGAGAUAAUGAGACGAGCAAAUAUGACGGCUUAUGUGCAGCCAUCUGUACUUCCUGAGACUGAAGAUGCAGUUCGUGAGAUGGAGUCACUUGGUUCUAAUUUAACUUACUUUAGUGGGUUUGGGAUUGAUCCUCUUCAAGGGCAGGUUCAUUUAAUUGAAGAAAGGGAUCGGUUGUUUAGACAGAGGUAUCCUGAUUUUGGACCUUUCUUUCAUUCAGUAGUCAAUCGUGAUUUUCAUCAUUUUCAACAAGGUUUACUUUUUUUCAUUGACAAAACAAGAAACUUAUUAUGAUAGAUGUUUCACAUGCAUGCUAUGCUGUUGUAAUUAUUGGUAUUUUUCUUUUCUUAUUUUGAAGCAAAGUAGUAAUGACACACACAAUACUUUCAAUAUUGCUAAUUGCUA